GAUAUCCAAAAAUAAUUCUUGGAUCGAGUGUUGGGUUGAUCAACCUAACUUCUCCUCCACCUGGAGCCCAAGUGUCGUAUGCACCACCUAUGUACAUCCAGUUAAUGGACCAUAGAAGAGCUCCAACACCAAGAACAACCAAAUGAAAACCAAGAAUAUUGGUCAUUUGGUUUUUAUCUCUCCA
rfam:Prochlorococcus marinus str. NATL2A, complete genome.